rnacentral:lncRNA from 1 species
CUUAAGCGGUAUGGAAUUGAUAAGGAUGUAGCCCGAACUGGACAGGGCGUGGCCCAAAAUGGACAGUGUGAUAAGUCUGAACCAAUACCACAAACGCCCAGUUAGAAUAGUAUAAAAGGAGCUGAAGACCUCAAGCAAGUGGACGAUCCGUCCCACGGACCAGUCUACUAGUCAGUCUGCUGAUCUGACUACCGACCAGGACAUCUGCACCUGAUCCCGCUGGAAGGAGCAUCGCCGCCGACCUGACGAGACCAGAGGACGAGGCCAGCGGAGAGACGGACAGCCUAGCGCCGACUCGACGCCCUUCGUCUACGGAUCGGACCCUCUGACCCUGCGGGAGGAAACGUCGCGCUCCCACAAGGACUUGCGCAGUACAGCUAAAGUAAUACCUAGAGAUGGAGAAUUCCUGGAAUGGCCAUCACUGCCUUUCGCUACAAAGCAAGGAAGCAGGCAGAGGAAACUAACUGCAUCUUGCCCUGACCUUGUGGCUGAGAAGGCAGAUGGAAGCAUGGUCUGGGAGUCUGUUUUCCUAAACUGACAGCGUGUUGAAGGAGACAGGUGGAGAGGAAGCCCUAGGACACAGGGCUGGCCUGUGCUGCUCUAUCCCCACCGAUGGCUCUAAUGUCCAGGAGCACCUCUGUUGGGGUGAACUCCCUCCCAGAAGCUCCAUGUGUCCUUGACAGAGAGCCAGGCUGGUCUGGGUUUGAAACAAGCAUCUUGUAGCCAGGCGUGGUGGUACAUGCCUAUAAUCCCAAAACUUCGGAGGCUGAGGCAGGGGGAAUGCCACGAGUUCAAGGCCAGCCUGCACUACAUAGCAAGACCCCGUCUCAACAACAAUAACAACACACACACACACACACACACACACACACACACACACACAAACCAACAACAGAAAUAUGCCAUUUCCCAGUUUUAGAUCAAAGUCUCAGAUCAGGGUGUCUUUGGGGUUGAUUUCUCAGAGCCUGUGGCCCAUCCUCCUGGCUCCUCUUAGCUUGAUCACCAGCAAGCAUCCAGACUCUAAUCAGGUCACCCGGAUUUCAACCUCUGGGCAGAGGGGCACAGUUCAGCCCAGGACACCAGAGGAGCCCUCACCAAGAGACAGCCCUGAGCAGACAGAAGCUGCUGAUGAGUCCCAGGUCCUGCAAGAACAGGAGUGUUGUGCACACAGUGGGUGUCCUUGUGACGGCAAGAUGGCCAUUUGGGUGGGCAGAAGGAGCAAGGGCAGGAGGGGCUAGAGUCAGGAAGGGUCCAGGGGCCCGAGCAGGGGCUCAGGAGGACUCAGCAGGCAUUUCCUGCUUUGGCAUAAGGACUCCUUCAAAUCCACCGGCCCACCACUCCACAGCGCAGGCGCUGUGGGGACAGGGAAGGGGCAUGCCAAGGUGGAGGGCAAGUGAGGACGGUCCUUUCCUGGCUUUUCAGAGUCAUCUUUUUGGUUGCUGUAUCCCUCAGCCCCUCCCUGUACCCUGUGCUGGCCCGGCCAGCCUCCUGCUCUGUAGGGCACCACACCAAGUGUCACAGUGCACAACACUGUUGUAUCAGCAAAUGCGGCUGACUGAGACCUGUGUCCCCAUCUGCACAGCAGACCAAAGAGAUGGGACUGGGCCAAACUCUUGCUUUUCUUGGGAUCUGUGGUUCCCGGCUGCCAUGGCUUGUAGGGGCUUCCAACACACCCCAAGAACCACCAGCUUCCACAGUAACAGAAACUGCUUGGGACCGACUGGCAGGGUAUAAACCUGUUCAAUAUGUUCCUCAUUUCCUACAAAACUACAUAUGCCUGGAAACAACAGGGAAGAAAUGCACCAAAAUGCUAACAGUUCUGUCUCUGUGAUGACAUUUUUGUAAAUAUGUUUUGAGCUUUCUACAUUUUCCACCACCACAAUACAAAAAUCAUUUUUUAUUUUGUUUUGUUCUGUUUUUGUUUUCUUGAGACAGGCAACAAUUGCCUUGUGUAGUUCAAGGCGAUUCUCCUGCCUCAGCCUCCCAAGUGCUGGGAUUACAGGAUGUGUCACCAUGCCCGGCUCAAAAGUCAUUUUUAAAAUGCAUUUAUAAACUAUUUUGUUUAAGCUUGAAUGCAGUGAAAUGGUAGGAGUCCCUUUAGGUGAUAAUCGGGUGACUUCAAUGCUUGCCAUUUGGAAAAUCACAGUUUUAUUUGAAUUGCAAAAGGACUUCUCUGUGUUGCCUUCUAAAAUUUCACCCAGGGACACUAAUUUAGAAGUCCAGUGCUGUAGAAACCCAGGCCCUGUAGCAAAAUUGCUUUUGCAAGAAGCUCCGUAAUCUACCCACCCCACCCCAUCUAUGAGGACUUCAGCGGUAGCCCUGCAGGAUGAGCAAAGCUGGCCUUCCACCCUUUCCAGAGAAGGCCUGUGUGUGCAUGCAUGUAUGAGUGUGUAUGAGUGUGUGUGUGUGUGUGUGCGCGCACAUGUCGUGACAGCAACAUGUGACCUUGGGAAAAUUAUUUAGCCUCUCUCAGUAGGCAGCAUAUUGGCUCCCAAAGAGGUGUGUUCCAAAUUCCUGCAAGCUGGGAGUACCUUAAUGAACUUGGUAGCAGCUGGCCUCAGACACCCGCUUCUCCAUCUUCAUACACCUGGUUCUGUCCCUGGUCCCCCAGGGAAGGUGGGGGUGCUGGCAAGGGAAACUAGCUACCGCCUGCCUAGAAUAGCCCAAGCAGCUUGCCGUAAUGGUGAGAAACAGCGAAAGAGACAGGUCAAGGAUGCAGCUCAGUGGCAGAGCAUGGGCUCAGCAGCAUGGGCCCUGGGCCUGUGACCCUGUAACCCACCACAGAGAGAGUGGGUGAGUGAAGGACAAAACACAGCUUCAUUCAAGACACCUGAAAAAAGCUUCCAAAUGUAACACAACCUAAAUAAGAGACUCUCUGUGGGGACUCCGCAUUUCAGAAUAAUGCAAUAUGAAUAUAAUUCAAUAAAAUAAAAAUUUAAAAAUAAGAUAAAAAUAACAGAAUGAGAUGAAAUGGGAGACUGCAGAACUAACACAUUGAAAACCAACACACACACAAAGAAAACUAAAACACUAUGACUACUGAUCUAAUAAAUUAGAGAAUAAACUAAAAGGAGCUAAAUAUCAAAUUAAUAUUAUGAAGGAAAGACUCAAAAGUGGAUGCAUAGGAAAAAGAUAAAGAGAUUAAAGCAAUUAGAAAGGAUAUGGUAGAAGGGUGGCACACACCUGUAAUCCCAGCACUCUGACAGGCUGAGGCAGGAGGAUCGCAAAUUCCAGGCAAGCUUGGGCAACUUGGUGACUUAGCAAAACUCUCAAAAAAUAGGACAGGGGGCCAGGGAUGCAGCUCAGUGUGAAGGCCAUGGAUUCAGUCUCAAAUACUUCUUCCUCCUUUUCUCCUUCCUUUUUGCAGAGGAAGGAGGAGGAGGAGGAUGAAGAGAAGUGAUAGAUACAAAAGUCAAAGAUCUACUAACUUUAGGAUAAUUGGGAUUUCUCAUGUACUCAUCUCAACAAAACGAGCUUAAAAGCCGUCAGAUAUAAUGCAGGAAACUCUUCUAAUGUCUAAUAAAAAUUCACAGUAAAAACUUAAGACAUGCAGCGUAUACCAG